rnacentral:tRNA from 1 species
AGAUCGCGAUCGGCGUGCAGGGUGGCGCCCGCCGCAUUGCCGAUGCGGCCGCCCGAGAGCGCCAGAUCUUUGCCCGCCACGAUCUG